rnacentral:rRNA from 1 species
CGCUGGCGGCAGGCCUAACACAUGCAAGUCGAACGGUAACAGGAAUCAGCUUGCUGAUUCGCUGACGAGUGGCGGACGGGUGAGUAAUGUCUGGGAAACUGCCUGAUGGAGGGGGAUAACUACUGGAAACGGUAGCUAAUACCGCAUAACGUCGCAAGACCAAAGAGGGGGACCUUCGGGCCUCUUGCCAUCGGAUGUGCCCAGAUGGGAUUAGCUAGUAGGUGGGGUAACGGCUCACCUAGGCGACGAUCCCUAGCUGGUCUGAGAGGAUGACCAGCCACACUGGAACU